ACUGAGACUUCCGCUUCACCUCGCUAUCUUGCCCUAGAAAGGGAACUCGGAGGGGACUCACUGACGAAAGGAGCUCCAGAUGGCGGGGGGCCAACCUGGGGCGACCCCCAGCGCCCACUUUCACCAUCUGGACCCCAGCAAACCUCCCUGUGGCCCUUGGUCCCGUCUUCAGCAGCUCCUUCUGGGGUCCCACACCUUCGGAGCCCGGCCCUGCCCCUGAGUCUCUGGAGAGAGCGAGUCAGCAGUUCGCCGCCGCGGGGCUCCCGUUUGCCUAGCACGCCAGUUUCUGUCCAGUUUCACCCCAAAUCCCCACCUCCCCCCACCCCCGAACCUCACGGCCACCCUGGGAAGGAGGCUUGACUUGUGACAUCCACCCCUCUUCACGGCUGAGGAACUUUGGCCCCGAGCGAGGAAGCGACCGGCCCACGGCCACACGCCCGGAGUGGGUAAAUAUCUACUCAUGGGAUUGCUGGGCUGUAUGGGGGCAGCAUCUUCUACUAUGUGCAUCUACAUUGGAUGGCAGUGGAGCAACACAGAUUGUUUUCUGACAAAAAUCAGCCAAGUACUAGGAGAGGCAGGACUUUAGAAGUGGAGGAGAUGGAGAAGGAAGCUUAGGUUACUAUGGAGUGUGCAAAAAGGUCCUGUGGAUUUAGAUACCACCACACACAAAUGCUGUUGUUGGAAGGUACCUGCCCAGAUAAGGACUGCAUUUCCUCUAGCAUCCAGAUGGGACCAAAUGACUGCUGGCCAAUAGAAGUGAGUGGAAAGGACUGACUCCAGUUCCAGGUUGGGCCUCCAACUGCUCUGGGCACGUCGAUGGAACAGAACACCACCUCCACCCCAAUACCACCAAUUCAACUUUACAUGAAUUAUAAGCGAGAAAUAACUUGGA
rnacentral:lncRNA from 10 species